CGCGGCCUAUCAGCUUGUUGGUGAGGUAACGGCUCACCAAGGCAUUGACGGGUAGCUAGUCUGAGAGGACGAAUAGCCACACUGGGACUGAGACACGGCCCAGACUCCUACGGGAGGCAGCAGCAGGGAAUCUUGCACAAUGGGCGAAAGCCUGAUGCAGCGACGCCGCGUGGGGGAUGAAGGCCCUAGGGUCGUAAACCCCUUUCAGUGGGGACGAAACUGACGGUACCCACAGAAGAAGGCCCGGCCAACUACGUGCCAGCAGCCGCGGUAAGACGUAGGGGCCAAGCGUUGUCCGGAUUUAUUGGGCGUAAAGAGCUCGUAGGCGGUUGCGUAAGUCGGAUGUGAAAACUCGGGGCUCAACUCCGAGACGCCAUCCGAUACUGCGCUGACUUGAAUCCAGUAGGGGAGUGUGGAAUUCCUGGUGUAGCGGUGAAAUGCGCAGAUAUCAGGAGGAACACCCAUGGCGAAGGCAGCACUCUGGGCCGGUAUUGACGCUGAGGAGCGAAAGCAUGGGUAGCAAACAGGAUUAGAUACCCUGGUAGUCCAUGCCGUAAACGGUGGGCACUAGGUGUGGGGACUUUCAACGGUUUCCGUGCCGAAGCUAACGCAUUAAGUGCCCCGCCUGGGGAGUACGG
rnacentral:rRNA from 1 species